CAUGCGAGAGGUACGGGGAUCGAUACCCCGCAUCUCCAUUAUUUUUCAACGCAGCUUUUGUUUUUGUUUUCAUAAUUCGUGACACAAAACCCUAAUUUCUACUGCAAAUUUUCUUUUGAUUUUUUAUCAGUUUCAACCGGUGUUGGAAAUCCACGAAGGAUAUCAAUCAACAUUUCUAGGUAACACCUUGUACGCUCGCGCCACUCGAAGUUAAUUGUUUCUUUUGUUUUCUAUUCUCUAUUCCCAUCAACGAUUCUCGCAAUGGCAGAGGAAGAGUUUUUUAUACAAGAAAUGAUAGAGAAAGAAUAAGAGGGCGUGGUGGUGGCGGUGCGAGUGGCUCCGGAAAGGAUAAAAUUGAUGCUCUUGGUAGGCUCAUGUAAGCACUACUUGGCCCUUUAAUAGGUUUUUUGUUUACAUUAACAUUUUUUCUUCCUUUGUAGAUACAUAAUGCAAGUCUCACUUGUCUCUGUUCUUUUGUUUGUAAAAUGAUAAAGGGGAUAUUCUCUUUCUUUUCAUGUGUGGAAAGAAGUUUGUCAACCUGUCAUGCUUAAUUCUCUUACUAAGCAGUUUACUCAAAUUAUGCUUUUCGUCAUAUGGCAUCUGAAUUGAAAUUGGAUAUGAGGAGUUGAUUUGCUAAAGCUGAAUUUGAAGACACUUGCUAAUAUUCCUCUGCAAUCCCACACUAUUGAUGACAUUAGGGAGUGUUAUCAAAUUGCAGCCAUGGCGGCGCUGUGGCGGAUAUACAUGGCUGUUUUUGGACUCACCGCAAAGGUAAAUAUCAGCCAAUAUUGCAGGUUUUUCCGCGAUAAUUCGUAUACCGGCACCGCAAAGCUGAAAUACCAUAUAUCUGUUGCCAGAGAUCAGAUAUUGCAGCUUGAAUAUACUCUAUAUUAUUUUGCAUAAUGCAAUUAAUUCUAAAAGAACUUUACCAACAGAAGAAAAAGUAAUAAGUGGUAAUGUGAUAUUGUUGUUGAAAAAAGUCCCAUUUACAUAUCGAAUGGUUUAAAUCUGGAUAUAUUUUGUUAAAAUAUGGUUAGGCAAGUUGAUUUACUUUCUUGAAUAUUAUGGAUACUGCCCUGUGACGCACCUAACUACUUUCUUUUUUGAUCUA